CAGCCUCCCGGGCGUCCAUUGAAAUCAGCCCUUUGUUUGAUUUCCUUCAGUCUCUGGGGUUUGCCACCCUCGGUGCCACGGGACCGAGCUGUGCGAAGGCUCGAUCCCGUCGGUCCAAAGUCCUGGGCAGCGUUUCCAGCAGCAGGGGCUGGAGGCAUCGGGGGCUGCCUUUGGAGCCUUGUUCUCCCCUUGGCUUUUACAGAGGGUGCCAGACUCUGCCCUUAAGGAUCCAGUGUUGCUUUUGGACGUUGAUCCUGCAGCUGGACAGGCGGUGCAGUGAGGAGCAAGUUGCUGGCUUACGUGAUUUCUGAGUGACCUGUCACAGAAACGGGCAUCUGUGUGUGCAGGUGCUUCCUGGCAAAUCCAGAUGUGACGUGGAAAUCCUAAGGGAGGAGUUCCAGCCUUGACCACGCGUGACACAGGCUUGUGGAAAUGGAAAUGGCCUUGGCAGAAGAGCAGCUGUGAGGUGAAGCAGGACUGCAAUACAGGUGCUGCCCAGGGGGGACAUCUGUGGCCUCAGACAGCGAUGGCCUUGGAGCAAGGGGAGCCUUUGCACAGCUCACCUGCAGAGCUCAGGUGGAUGGGACAGGAUUGGUGUGGCCUGAGAAGUCCUGAACAGCUGUG